rnacentral:lncRNA from 1 species
GUAAUUCAGGAGGAGGAUUCCACAGCCAUAAAGGUGGGAGAUUGGCAAAUCCUGCAAGCUGGGCAACAGUGUGGGCUACAACGUUUCCCUCUCUGGGAGUCCAGGUAAAAAACCAGAAUGGAAAUCUUCUCUUCCAAGUAGAAAUGUCAUGCAAAAUAUUUGAGAUUUCUUUGAUCUGUCUUUGACCAUUGCAGGCUUCUAUCAGGGAUAAACAAUCAGAUUCAAAAUGGACCUUUUGCAGUACAACCUUCUUUUCCGUGCCCAUAUGCUUCACCGUUCGCUUCCCUGAAGAUGUAAGAAACAAUAAUACACUCCAACUCACCCAUCCAAUUGUAUAGUCUCAUACCUAUCCAGUCUCAGAAUACCUCUUGCUCGAAUGCAAGAUCGGUUCAUUCAUGUGACCCUCUGCCUAGAAGCCUUCCAGUUUCGGUUUUUUCUGGGCCCCCCCUGCCAAGAAGCCUUCCGGGAGCCACUCCUUGUCCGUGCCUCACCGCACCAGCGAUAACUCCCCGCCCUCGUCGAGCCCGGGUGUCACAUUCAUCUUUGAAUUGAAACCAAGAUCUGUCUCACCCCUUAUGAGACUUGGGCCUAUUUCUUUAUUACUAGAAUUCAUAGAUCUUGUUAUCACUUAAAGACUGUAGAGGCAUUCAGAUCCAAUUUUGAGGGAGGUUUUGCUGAAUCUUGAGCUAUGCAAUUGUUGAGAAUUCAAGUGUAGAGUUGGAGUCCCACAUUUGUUAAGUUUGGAUGAGGAGAAGACUUUAUAAGAGAUGUGACCCAUAAACCUAAUGCCUUAAGAUUUUGGGUUAAGAUGUGGCGUCGAUAUCUUUUGGUUUCUUGCUUCUCGACUCAUGGGCUCCCUUGUCUCCCCCCAACAAGUGGUAUCAGAGUCGAUGGUUCGUGGGACCAAGGUAACGACUCCUUGUGUCGAAAGUAUUCCUAGUAGUGUGGCUAGGCGGCGAGUUUCGUUGAGCAGCGAACGACGGUACAAGGGUGGAUAACUUCCGCAGAGGGGAGCCAUGAUAAUGUGGUGGUUACUCGCACUUGAGGGGGAGAUUGUUGAGAAUUCAAGUUCGAAGUUGGAGUCCCACAUUGGUUAAGUUUGGGUGAUGAGAAGACUUUAUGAGAGAUGUGAUCCAUAAACCUAAUGCCUUAAGGUUUUGGGUUAAGAUGUGGCGUCGAUAUCUCUUGGUGUCUUGCUCCUCAGCCCAUGAGCUCCCCUAUCUCUCACAACAACAAUCGUGUGUGCAAAUUUGUUCCUAGAUCUUGUCACCUAGAUAAAACCCCAAUAUCUUAUAUCCCUUACAAUUUGUUCAAUUUCUCCUUUUUGUUCAUUUCCUUUACAAGCUUCUAUUACUUCUAACUUGUCUGAUUCAAAAGUCUGUUACCAAAAGUGACAUUUUUCAUCUCCAUGUAUCCCCUUAUUAGUUAGCUUUGCUAGGAUAUUCUCCAGUCAUAUAGAGAAAGUUAGAGUAUUUUCCUUUCUCGAGUUUGCUUGUAGGAGACUACUAGGACCGGCACAACCACUACCUUCGCUACAACUAUCACUACCACUGUCACCACCACCAAAACCAAUUGCACCACCACCCUCACCACCACAAUCGCCCCAUCCACCGCCAUUACUUUACCACCACCACUCAUCACUACCACCUUCGCCACAACCACCACCUUCGCCACAAUCACCACUGUUGUCGUCGCUACCACCUUUUGCACUACCAUUGUCGUCACCACAACCCUACAACAAUGUGACCACCACCACCACUUCCACCACUUCCACCACUACCUCAACUAACUCCACACCCCCUUACAAUUGUCUCCACUACCAACAUCACCCCGCCACUAACACCACCACCAUUUCUACCAUCACCACUACUCUCCACCACCACUACCUUCCACCAAACAUAUGAUUGUAUGAAGUAAAUAUAGUUGGGCUAUUUGCUGGCUGAUUUUGUCCUAGUAAUUUUGGUAGGGGAAUUGGAGGGAACUGCAUUUUGCAAGUUUAAUUUGUUCUCUAGGUCUCCUUGGAGGUCACACAUGUAUUUUAGUUUCUUUGUACUCUUUUUUCUUCACUAGGUUUUUUCAAGGGGUGUUUUUGCUGGUAAGGUUUUAAUGAGGCAAGUUUCUAAAGUCUGUAGUUCAAGGAGGUGUUGGGUUAAAUGAUGUAAUCUUUUGCAUUCUUAGACUUUUUUUUUGUUAUUUCUACUUGUAUUGAGUUGAAGUACCCCUUGUACUUCAUUUCAAUAUAUAUCACAUGACUUAUAAAAAAAUGAAGUAAAUACAAUAUGAUUAGUUAUGAAGUGUAUGACCAAACGACUUAUAAUAAUAUUUUUAUUAGGCUUUAUCCUAUCGGGACUAAUACUAUCAGACUAUAUACUGUACAACAUACCAUACGGGCCCUUAGAUUUUAUAUGUAAUUAAGACUAGGCAUACAAUCGGUGGUUUAACAUUCAGCUUGGUCACCGACUCGCCUGAGAUGCCGAGUCAACGAGUAACUAGUCAGACUAGUGAGUUACUGGUCAGAUUGCUUGACUUAGUGUAUAUUACAUUUUUUAAUAUUUUGGGUAUAAGCUAAAAUGUGGUUGUCUAAAUUAUCAUAGACAAAGUUUGGGUUAAAUCACCAUAAUCAUAGGUGGACCAAUAAUAUUAAAAAUAAAUAAAUAAAUAAAAAUGAAUUCAUACUUAAACUUAAAAAUAUUAUCAUUUCUAUAGUAAAAUAUUACUUUUUUAAAGGAAAUACUCAUUAUUAACAUCUAAGAAAAGACUAAUUUACAAAUUAAAAAUGUGGUAGGUUACAAAAUACUCUACUAAUAUAUGUUAGUGUCUAUAACGGAUCAACAAAACAUAGGUUGGCUAUGUUGUUAUUCCCUUGCCUUCCUUUUGCAUGUCCAAUAUGCAAUUUCCACCCACUACAAUUAAAACAAAAACAAAUAUUUUACCUGCGACAUUGACUGAGUGAUGGCACACCGGUCAAACCAAAAUAUGGCCGAGUUAUAUCGAUUUUCAUUAGUUCACUUGUGUAACCAAUCUUAUUCGAAACUCAAACCGGUCACGUGAUCCAGUCUAAGUAAAUUCUCAUCUCAUGUAAAUAAACUUUACACAUAAUGCAUAAACUAUACAUUUUUAACACAUUAGUUCAGAAGUCAGGGAUAAUUGUAUUCACUCCCUAAUAGGAGGAAAUUAAUGAUGCUUUUUAAUUGGGAUCCAUGUCCUAUAUGUUAUAAGUGACCGUUCCAGAAAGACAUGGGGAAGUAGAGGUUGGAAAAGUCGUCGAAAAUAGUGGAGUCAUGGUUACCACCAUUAGAGGUCAUACACUUUGUUUGUAAGAGAAGAAACAAAUAGAAAAGAGAGAGUAGAGAAGAGAAAAGUAAAGUAGAGAGAAAUAAAUGAGAAAUAUAGUAGAUUUAGAGGUUGUUUGGUAUGAUAAAAAGAGAAGAGAGAUAGAGAGGAAAGAAUGUUACUUUUUGUGUUUAAAGAUAAAUUAUUUCUAGUAUAAAACAAUUUCUGACGGUCCGUGAAGGUAAUUACUGGCAAAGUGCAACAUGGGAAUUGAAAUGAUGAUAUGUAAUGUUAUAUAUUUCAAGACCGCCAGGAAAUGACGAAAAAUUAGAAAGAAAGAAAAAAGUUAAAAUACAUGGAGCAGCCCAUCUCUCUCUAAUUUGGAGAGACCGCUCCUCUAUCUCCCUCCUCCCCAUUGACCAAACGCACAUAGUUCCUCCUUCCCCCUAACUCUCUCUUUGCCAUUUCUCUUCACCCAAACCUCCUUCUACUAAACAAAGUGUUAGAGUUUGGGAAAGAGGGAAAAAAGAAGAAGAAGAGAAAUAACUAAACCCUAAAUCCAAAAGAAAAAGUCAUACCAAGAAAAAAAAAAGAUUUGGAUCCCCUCAUAUGGCUAUCUGACAUGACCAUGUCAUGUGAGAGAUCUCAACCCUUAAUUUGCAAUCUAAUGGACAAAAUUAUUUCAAUCACAAUUUUAAUUUUUCUCUCUCCACAUAUCUAUUAAUGAUUCAGAUUUUGUUUAACAGUGCACAUUUGUGAAACAUUGAGGGUAGAAUUAUCGACAAAAAUAGAGUAGGGGCAGAAUUUGCACAAACUUGAAACAUCAGGGGCCAAAAAUGCUUUUUAGCCUAAAAUGAAUUAAAGGCUGAGACUAGGGGGAAAUAGGUCGGGCCGAACCGAGCUUUGCAUGGUCUAAGCCUGACUUGCAUUCUCUUUUCGUGGCUCAAGUUCCUGGCCUACAAGCCUGCUUAAAAGCCUAUUUAACAGACAAUUAUAUUAAAAGAAUGUCAUUAGGCUGGCGGGCUAAUAAGCCUUUUAUAUAUCAUUGCACUUUCUUUUUAAAUAAAUAUAGACACCUGCAUUUCUUGUAAAACGGUGGUGGUGCUUGCGGUUUGGAGGAGAGGUGGACUGAGAUCCCUCACAUGACCACGUAUACAAUUUUCUACAUAGUAAGAUUACCACGUCAGAUAAUGACCGACCAAUUUUUUUUUUUUCAAGGACCAAAUCUAUUUUUCCAUCGCCCUUCAAUGGUAAACCCUUAUCUGUUUGUGCGACCACCGUUCCAUUCGCCAUCGGCUGUGACAUUGUCGAGGAUUCGCAGGCCUCCCCUGUAGCUCUCUCUGGUUUUUCCAUUGUGACGCAUAUGGUAAGAUUUUUAAACCAAUUUCAUCACUGUUUCCAUGCAUAGUUAACAAGAUGUGAAACUGGACUUCAUGGAAUUGAUUUCUUUGGUGAUUAAGCUGAUUUCCCCUAAUUGAUUCUAGCAUAGUAGCAUUUUUGAAUAUUUUCUUAGGUGUUGUAGUGACCAAUUAACCUUAUCAACCUCUAGCAGUAACUACAAUAGCCAAAUAGAAGACAAAAAUGCCAUUACUUCUUCUGUUGGUUUAUUUCCCACAACUUCACCAUACUUCUAUUCUGAUGCCAAUUUUGCUUAUAAUGAGUGUUUAUCGAGAAUAUCUGAAAUCUAGAACUAGGCGCCAAAAAUAUAGAGAUUAGCAUAAAUGUGGUGAGGAUUGUCUAGUUACGAAUUUGGGACUGGUGUGGCCUAAUUCAAGGUUUGCUUGUGGAUGAUGGUACCUUGUAAACAACUUAAUUUACUUGUGAAUCUGAUAUGUUUGUUGAUAAUUGAAGAAGCAGAUAAGUGGUAGGAUUUAGAAAUAUUAGAAGUGGAAUGCAUGGACUAGUAAAACCGUAUGGUUUAUUACAUUGAUGGUUAGUACAACACUUAAGUCUUAGUGUUGCCACACAUACAUGGUGAGGCACUAAUGCCUAUUUAUAGCUGGAGUCACCGCCUUGAUUUUGGCGGUUUAUUAUAUGAUACAAUUGGAUCAUUCUAGAGUUUAGAAACAUCAAAAUAGUCUAUGUGCUUUCUAUAAUAGUGUAGAUUUUAAAAGAUAAUUCUAGAAAUUUGCAUCAAUUCUUAACAAUGUUUAACCUCUUACAUUUUCCUUCAAUGUAUACAUCUUAGCAAGCUAUCUCUAUGGUGGAGAUUUUGUAUGAUAAUUCGAUUAGCUCAUUAAGUUAAUUCAAUCAUGUUUCUGGGAAAUAACUUUUUGGUAUUUAAAUUAUUUCUGUAGCAUAGUCUUUAGGUUGAUUCUACUGCUUAAAUGAAAAUAUUCUGUCUGUGCUUUUUCCUUGCUUCAACUUGGGUGUGUGUUAAAAGCUUGCUCCUGUGGAUGUUGACAUGGCAAGGUUCUUGCUAACAAUCAGAAAUGUUUAUGUGCUCUUAUUUUAAAUGGUUGAACUCACUGGACAAGUUUUUGAAGUAAUAAAGUAAGAAACAAUUUUUUUAAAAAGGAUAUAAUUCUUGAAGAAGUCAAUUUAAUGUGAAGCUUAAAGAUUAGGAGGAGUGAUUUCAUUUGAUUAGCUCAUAGUUCUGAGUUUAUCUAAUGCUGGUUAUAGGUAUUAUGAUUACAUUUACUUGUAUAGACUGACUAAUUUAUUUCCUAUAUACAUUAGACCCCCAAAGUAUAAGCAAGAUAUCACACACACAGAAAUGGGGAUGAUGAGAAGAAAAAGAAUAUUGUUUUUGUUUCUAAUGACCAGAUGAGGAAUUGGGUGAAUGAGAUAGAACAUUAUGCUAUUCUGGUCAACAUACUGGUCUGGUCAAAUCUAAAAUCUUGUAGGCCACCUUUGAUCUGGGGUCUGUUAUGAUCGUGAAAGAUUAGCAAACCCUAACAUUGGUAGUUGCUUUGUUUCUUUGUUGGUUGUAUGUUUCUGGCUUCUUUUGAUAUGAAAAUAUUAUUUUUUGCAAGAGUUAAUCGCUUUAAUAUUUUUUUUCAGUAACACCUAGCAAAUUGAAAUGAGAGAGUUCUGCUUUGAAUUAUCUAUUUGGUUGGCAGUAAUUAGUAUGUCUAUGAAAUUUAACUUUCUCUGUUUUCCUUGGACUUCAUGGCAUAAGAAAAGUUCACAUAGGCGGUUAAAAAGGCAUAAAGCCACAUAAAAAUUAACUUGAACUCUUUGGCAUUUAAUUUAUCUUCUUUUCUACUUUCAGUACUCUAUGAAGACCCGGAACUUUAAAAUUAGAGCCACAUGGAAAUUUCAUCAUCCUAGAGACCAAGUUGGGAACUGAGAUCGCUGGAAGAGUUGCCUUAAGCAUUUUCACUGUGGUGUGAGAGUGUUGGCGGUUCACAGUCAAUGAUGUCAUGCUCAUAUCAUGGUCACUUCGGGUAAUUAACUUCAAAUAUUUUCAUUUUCUAUUUGCUUAUAUAUAGUUUCAUGAGAAUUUCUCAAAACUUAUGAAAAAGAUGGGAGUGUUUAGGUCACGGGUUCUUAAAUUAAGGUCUUGUUUUCUAGUUGUCGGUAUGUUUGGAUUGACAGAACAUAACAGAGCAGAACGAAUUGAAAUAUAAUGGAACAGAUAGAGCGGAAUGAAAUGGAAUAAAAAUCUCAUCCCAUUGUUUGGGUAUUUUAUGAUAACACGAAACAAAAUCACCACUCCCUUAUUUGGAUAAUGGACGGAGCGGAAUGAGUUAUAACUUUUUUAUUCCUAUAUUACCUUUCUUUAAAUAAUAAAAUUCUCAUUAAAUUAUUAAAAUGAUUAACAAAAUAAUUUUUUAGAGGAAUUAACAAAAUCAUUAUCCUUGCUAAACUCUCAUUAUAUCUAUUUACUCAAAUUAAAUUAUAUCCUCAUCAUUUAUCUACAGUAAACUAUACUAGUAUAUGCCAAUAUUUUUUUAUAAAACGUACUGAACAUAAUAGAACACUAUCGAAAAAAGUAAACGAAAAAUAAAAGAAUGCAACAGUUGGAAAAAAAAAUAGUUUGUUGACAAAUAAAAGAAUAUGUAUACAUUAGUAUUAAUAAUUAAAUAUGAACAGUAUCAUUAUAUUACCUUUCGUAAGCUGUAAUGUUUUAUUUUUGCUAGAUAUGUUAAAAUAAUGUUGGAACUUGGUUGUUUGUGUGAGGGGAGAGAGUAGAGACUCACGGAGAGAGAGUGGGAGAGAGUGGGAGAGACUAUUAAGUUAAGGGCUAGAAAUCUAGAAUUGUAAAUUGAUAAUUUUUAUAAGUGUAAAAUCUUGAUUUCAUCCCAUACCUUCCAAAUUGAGGGAAGCAAAAUGAUGGAAACUAAUCUCAUCUCAUUUCCAUCUCAUCCCACCUUUUCAUAACAUAUCCAAACAAUAGAACAUAAAAAUAUUUCACUCCAUCUCAUCUCACCCCACUCCCUGCCACCAAUCCAAAUAUAGCCUAAUGAUGGCAUAGUGUAUAUUUGACUGUGGAUAAAUGAUGAAGAUAUAAACUAAUUAGAGUAAAUAGAUAUGAUGAGAUUUUAGCAAGGUAAUUAUUUUGUUAAUUAUUUUUGUAGUUUAAUGAUAAUCUUUUAUUUUAAAGCAAAGGUAAUGUAGGAAUUAAAAAGUUAUAACUCAUUCCGCUCCAUCCAUUAUCCAAAAAGGGGCGUGGUAACUUUAAUUUGUUAUGUUCCAUCAUUAAAUACCCAAACAAUGGGAUGAGAUUUUUAUUCCAUUCUGUUCUGCUCCAUUAUAUUUCAUUACGUUCCGCUCCGUUAUGUUUCAUCAAUCCAGCCUAAAUGUUUGCAUAGAUUAACACAUCACGAUAGCAAAAUAACAAUAUAAGGAACAAUGGCUGAAAAUGGUGGGUGGAUGGUUGACCAAAAAUAUGUAUACUGCAUGUUUGCACAAACUAUAUAUUAAUUAAUCAGGUUCUAGUACUUUUUGAGAUAAAUAUGUUGAGAUUGAUACUUUGAGACACUAUUACAACACUAGUAGCAGAUUAGGUAGACCAUCACAACACGUUCAACAGAGGAAUAUGUAGCAGCAAAUGCUAGGAUAAGCUAACUUCAAUUUUAGAAUUGAGAACUUAAUUUUCAAGUAUACACUAUUUGUUCCCCUUCUUCAUGUAACUUUUGUCAUGGACAUGAUUAAAGUUGUAUAGUGCAAUUUCUCAAACUCAAUGGCUUGUGAAAUCUUGUGUGCAAACCUUGAGAAUAAUUCAUCCAUGAUACCUUUGCCAAAUGCGGCAGAGUAAAGUGGUUCCACGACGGAUCUGAGGGUCUUGGAAAUUAACUCUCCUUUAAUUUUGGUAUCCAUGUCAUGUGGAAGGUGUCCAUCCAAACUUAUUUGGAUAGUUUUCAGUGUUUGAAGGGUAAAAGAUCCUUCUGCCUCAAUUAUUUGUUUGACUUCCUCCACAGUAGGAAUAUAUAUAGGCAUAUUAAAGCAAUCUAAUUUAGUCUCUUCAAGCAAACCCUGCAUUUAUAUUAAUUUAUAGGGAACAAUAUUAGUUACUACCAAAUAGGAAUAACAUGUUAUAAACUACAGAAAAACAUUACAUUCCAGUUAGUUUCUUGAAAAUCUAGUAAUAAUGGUAAUCAAAAUUGUAUUCGUUGCAUACCUCCAAGACCAUGUCCUUCAGUACCAACUCAAUUAAGUCCUGCGUAGUACCCUUUUCAAAUGCAGCAUUUUCUCUUCCCAGUAAAGAUAGUACCAUACUUCCAUCAAGUGUUAGUUCGUUCGAACGUGAUCGAAGAAAUAGAUUGAAAUCUCUUUGGAAUUGCUCAAAAUAUGCUUUAUACACUAUUUUAGGACUUUUGAUUGUUAAAUAAAUAUGACCCUUGUUCAGUGGUUCUGCCCCUUUAGUCAAUUCUUCUGGAGACUGUUCCGGAAAAAGCAAUAGACACACACAAAUGAUAUUAUUUUGUGCUUUGCUUCACAAACACAACUUUAACAACUUUAAUAUAUAUAUUAAUAAAUACCUGCGAGAGCCAAUGAAGACUAUUCGAAGAAUGAAAGAAAUCGAUGUAAUUAUUAGGAAAGAGCCUCCCAUAGAAGUUCCCUGGAGUUGCAUUUAUAAAGCAUGCUCCAGCUUUGUCUCCCCUAUCUUGUAUCUUUUGGUAGAAAUCAGGAAGUAACUUGAAGAUACCAUUAAAAUCGUUUCCAAAAAGAUCACUAAGAUAAACUUGGAGUAUGGGCACCUCUUGCUUUGAGCCCAAUCUAGUUGUGUUGAUGACGCUCAUUAUAUCGGACACGACCAGAAGUGAAUUUGGUCCUGAAGAGCAUCCUAAAUCUGCCACUUUCAAAUUACUUUUAAAAGUGGUGUGAUGCAACAAUGUCUUAAUACUUUCUUCUAGUAUUGACUUCAUUUCAAAUAACACUUUUCUCUGCAAUAAAAAAAACUUGGUUACAACAAUGACGACGCCAACAAUAAUAAGCCAAAUGUUAUCCCAUAAUCUUAGGGACAGCUGUGAUAUAAAAAAUUCAAAAUGAUGAUCUGUAGGUUAUUAGCUGAAUCUGUUUUAUUUUGGCAUUCCUUGAGAUUUUCUCUAUGGUGUUAUGAUGUUAUAGGGAUGCCAUUUUAGAAACUGAGGUUUAUUUUGAAAUUUUUUGGGGUGGUGUUUUGGAUGAGAUUUUAUUGUAUAAGGUUGUAUAUCCGUCAUGAGAAUGGUUGUUUCUCAUGUUCUCUUAAUUUUAUGAAUAUAACUCUUGCUUUAAAAAGAAUUAUUUUUCAAUAAAAAAUUAUAUUUUCUAUAAUUUUUUUACCAGAAGUUCGAGGGAGAGUAGAAGUAGUAACAAGAAGAGAAUGCAUACAAUGGAAAAGUUCAAGGGAGCAUAUGAUUAUUGAGUAGGCAGCUGAGGUUCUUUCUCCCUUGAGAAAUUAAUCCGGUAAGUUAAAUAUUAAUUCGAUCUCUUUACUUACUAUUGACACCAAAAUAUUGGCUGAUGCAGAAUGGUUGUAAACUAAUUUAAUCGAGUCAAGGUUAGCUCAGAGCAGACAAGUUUAUUUUUUAUAUGCUAAAUAAUGAUAUUAAUGUGGAGCACAAGGGGUGCCCCAUCCGAUACAAAGGAAAAACAAAAGUCUAAAUAACAAGAAACAUCCUACAGCGUUCAAAUGAAGUAAAAAUCACAUACUCUAUAAAACUGACACAUUUCAACGGGCUUUGCCAACAAAUGAGAAGCGUUUUCGGAAUCCUUUGAGCUCUACGGCAGCAUGCUCCAGAUGUGGUUCCGAUUCAGAGGAUGCCAACCAUGUUUUUUGAGGAUGCCCUGACUCGCAGAACUUGUGGAGGAGCCUUGGUCCCUUGCUGCCGCGGCUUGACACUCAUGGGGACUUUGGAGCUUGGUUUGAUAUGCUUCUGUCACGUUGCAGCAAUAUUCUUCCCUUCGCAGUUUUAUGGUGGGCUUGGAAGUGGCGCAAUGAGUCUGUGCUAGGCACAAACUCAUGGCCACUGCAGUAUGUCCUAAGGCAGAUUAUAGUGGAUGCUCAGAGCUGGAAUCGGUGGCCUAACGCAGCGCCGAUUAGGCGUGUGGAACCAACGCCAGCACCCUUGGUGGCGAAUGAAGUGCAGCUGCACGUAGAUGGAAGCUGGAAUCCUGCUGCUCAGCGCAUGGGCUACGAGGCUUUUCUUCAAGACUCGAAUGAAAACUGGCUAUCUGGAGUGUCUGCAAGCAUGGGUACGGGGUCGUCGUUUCUUGUUGAGUUAUUAGCAAUGGAGCACGGGCUCCUCCAUGCUUGGAGUCUUGGUCACCGAGCUGUUCUUUGUAUGGCAGAUUGCAGGCAAGCUGGGGAUAUUGUGCAGCAGGAAGGAGAUGUUUCCAGUUAUUGGGAGAAGGAUGCUAUCGUAAGGCUCAGAGCUUUACUGAGCAGAAACUGGCAUGUGAGGCUUGUAUGGAUCCCUCGUGAGAAGAACUCUGCUGCAGAUACUAUGGCUCGGCAAGCAGUGCGUGACGGAGCAGGGCAUCGUGUUUGAGCCCAACCUCCUUUGGGUGUUUUGACAGCAUUGUAUGCUGAUAGUUUAGUGUAGCCCUUGUUUUAUUUUUCCUAUGUAACCAAAAAAAGUAUACACUAACACUGACUAUCCCUGUAACUUAUGAAUUGCCAGCUAGAGCUCAAUUUUGAGAAUGUAGCUGAUGAAGUGGGGAGCCGAAAGUGACAAGCUUUGCGUACGAAAUUGGACAAGAGCUCAAUUUUUAGAAUGUAGCCGAUGAAGUGGGGAGCCGAAGAGACAAGCUUUGCGUACGAAAUUGGACAAGAUAUCUUUCCA